rnacentral:rRNA from 1 species
AGUGAACGCUGGCGGUAGGCCUAACACGUGCAAGUCGAACGGCAGCACGGUAAGAGCUUGCUCUUACGGGUGGCGAGUGGCGGACGGGUGAGGAAUACAUCGGAAUCUACUUUUUCGUGGGGGAUAACGUAGGGAAACUUACGCUAAUACCGCAUACGACCUACGGGUGAAAGCAGGGGAUCUUCGGACCUUGCGCGAUUGAAUGAGCCGAUGUCGGAUUAGCUAGUUGGCGGGGUAAAGGCCCACCAAGGCGACGAUCCGUAGCUGGUCUGAGAGGAUGAUCAGCCACACUGGAACUGAGACACGGUCCAGACUCCUACGGGAGGCAGCAGUGGGGAAUAUUGGACAAUGGGCGCAAGCCUGAUCCAGCCAUACCGCGUGGGUGAAGAAGGCCUUCGGGUUGUAAAGCCCUUUUGUUGGGAAAGAAAAGCAGCAGGUUAAUACCCCGCUGUUCUGACGGUACCCAAAGAAUAAGCACCGGCUAACUUCGUG